AUUACCCUCAUAACCAAAACCUCA
rnacentral:siRNA from 1 species